CCGGCGUGCCCCGCGCGCCCGCCCGUCUGAGGGGGCCGGGAGCGCAGCGGGAGCGUGCCGGGAACACACCGGGAAUACCGGGCGUAUACCGGGAAUACGGGUCCUAUACCAGGAGUACGGGGGGCGCCGGGCACACACCGCGAAUACCGGGGACACCGCCGAUACCGGGCACAUACUGGGAAUAGUGGGGACACCGGGAAUACCGGGCACACACCGGGAAAAGCGGGCACCACGUCCAGUCCCUCCAGCCCCGGCCUCCCGCGGGCACAGGCACUGUAGCGUUUUGCAGGUGUCCCUCCCACGCCCCGCUCCCGGGACAGCCCUGCUGCAGGAGUGACCUUGUCCCACACACCUGGAGUCAGCGGGACCGCCCGUGUCCGUGUGUCGGGAGCGCCGCGAACCCGCCGCGUCCCUGCGCGUCUCCCCGGGCACCUCCACAGGGUGGGCGUGGGAUCAGUCCCGCUCUGCACCUGCAGCUGAACGUUUGCAUUACCUACAAACCCCACCGAGCUGCAUCUCCAAGCGUUCUGGUUUCGUGGAGCACUGUUCCCGCCGGGGUUCGACCCUCGUGCUCACCAGGGGCGCUGCCAGGACAGCCCUGGAGAACCGGGCGCUGCCGUCCAGCAGCACGGCCAAGCACCCGCGUCCAUCCGAGUCCUCCCCUCAGUCUGCCAGCUGAAUCCCUGCGGUCUCUGGGGGUUGGAGCGUCAGGGAUAGCAGUGCCCACACAGAGAUGCCCUGACAGAGGCGCCAGCCCAGCCCCUGAUGCUGGCCGGGAAUCCUGGAGUGGAGCAGCGGGAGCCCUGCAGCUCCAGGACAGGGACCGGUCUGAAAUGCUGACCCGAGGGAAGAGGGCCCGUGGCAGCAGAGCCCACUCCAGCCCCUGGUGCUGCUUCUCCCGCAGGAGGAUGGACUGCACUGCUGAGGUCACUCACACACUGCAGAGGAGUUUGGAGCUACAGGCUGAGGUAUGCAGGGAGCCUGGUCAAUGCCUGCUGGCAAGAUGACUUUAAAUCUUACAUGUCUUCUAAACAGCAGUAUAGUCCUGAACAGAAACACUUCCUCUUACAGGCAAAAUUAAUGCUCUUUUCCUAGUGUACAAUCUGGUUAGCUAACAAACCUGUACCAGCUUUAGUAAACUGACAGUCUAUUCCCCCAUUAAAACCAGCAACAUUUACCAUUUACUAACAAAUAGAACUAUUCAAAAGUGUAAAUGCCAUACCGAUGUUUCAUUUUUUAAAUUUUAGAAUAGUUAUUAUUACCGGAAAAUGAAAAUUCUCUUUUAGAUUAGAAACUAUUGUUUCUCAGCGACAUCAUGGAUGUUAUUGGUCUAACUAGAAGGCUGAGGAGUUGAAAUAGGUGUGUGCUGAGAGCCCCUGAAAAGGUCCAGGUUUCUUUCCAAUUGGAAUGUUGCAGGUUCCCCACAAGCAGGAGGUAGGUGGCUCAGAUGCCGUGUGAUUCACGGCCAUAAGAAUGCACCACCACAGCCCAUGCACAGAUACACACCCCAGUCAAAUUAUACAUUUGACACAUUCUGGAACUGAAACUUCUGGCAAGCAAUUACUCACGUUAGUGAUGCUGUGAUUCAGUGUGGUGCUGGCUGGUGAUGAAACCCUGCAGGGCUGCUCCUCGUGGCACAUGGCACCAGGGAACAGGAACCUCAGCCUGCCUCGUUAGCACUGCUUUGCCUCCAGAGAACAGCUAUAAUUAAUGCUAUUUUAUCUUAAGUGAUUGUGAAGAAGGACAACUUAGAGAUAUCACCUGUCACAGUAGGUAUUUUCUAGUAAAUUUACUGAAAAUUGUAAAUGGAAGAAAAAGUCUGAGAUUUAAAACUUUUGUCAGACAACAAAGCCACAGAUACAGCAUGAGGCAGAGCUUGCUGUGGCUUUUGGGGAGCUGCAGCUGCUGCCCAGGGAAGUGCAGCUUUGGGAACUAUAAAGGACAGAGGCAGUGAAAGGGUUUGUUCUGUGGUACACAAACACAAACACUGCUUUAGUCAAUCCCCUCUGGCUGGAGCUGUAAUUCUGAAUAGGGAGGCAAGGGGAAGAAAGAAGGAACAUCUGUCUGUUUUAUUCUUAACACUGAUACACUGUGAUGUCCUGUGCUUUGUUCUCUUGGGAACUCCUCUUCUUUGGGGCAAAUCAUUUCAUGUCUCUUGAAUACCCCUUAAAACAUUUCCAAUGCCAGCAUUAUUCAUUCAUGUUUAUGAAGUCUGUUUAUAUUUGUGCUUCAGUAAAUGUCACCACAAAAAUAAUACUAUCAAGUAUUGGAAAAAAUCUCUUCCCAAACCAGUGGUGAAGCUCUUGGUGACUGUGGUGGAAUUAACCACCCAACUGCUCUGCAGUGUUUAUAGCAGACAGUGAGUGUGCCUCCACACUCUGCUGGCUGCAGUGCUCCCUCAGACCUUUUGUGUACUUCUGUUAUUUGUUCUAAGCAUCAUUUAGUGCCCUCAGUGACCUCAUUAUGUUUAUAUCUAUAAUUAGAAAAAGAUACAUUUUAGGCUGUGACAUUUUUGGCUAGGUUAGAAAGCGCACUUGAUUAAAAUUGCUUUGGAAAGGAUACACUGUCCCUCACUCUCCACUGGAUUUUCUGUAUUCUUUCCAAAUAGGCAACUCUAAACAAAUUUCAUUAAACUAAUAUGUACUACCUUAAAAAUUUAUAAAAGACUGAGUUCUGUGAUUUUUAAGAGCUCUCUAUGAAAAAGGGAGUAGAACUUUACCUGAAGGUGAAAAAUCAGCAUCCAACCAUGACAUAAGAAUUUGCAGGCAAAACUUCCACUGGUGCCAGUUAGAGCUGCACUGAAAGGAGAUUAUAGUUACAUAAUAGAAUGUUUUAGUGAAUAGUUUCACAGUUCAAUAAAUUAUUAUAUGACUGAAAGAGACGUGGGGCAGAGUGGGCUCAGCAGAUGACAGGACAUAAUUUUCAGAGGGUUUACCCUUUAUUUUACACCUGUACUCCUUCUGGCUUAGCCAGGAAUGAUCCACAGCUGUAACUAGGAACAAGAUGUGAGACUGGAAUUAUAAAAAUUACAGUUGUGAGGUUCAGUUUGUUCUCAUUUUAAACCAUAGUGAUAUCCUUGGUUAGAAAUGGUGUUAAUAAAUAAUGACAAUCCUUAUUUGGAAUUGAGAAGGAUUUCUAAUUAAGAAUGAUUUAGUAAUUCUUAAAAACAUGGGAAUAAACUCCUCUUUGGUUCAUUUAGAGAGUCCCAGUAGGUUUCCAUUUGGCCUGGAGAGUUUUCUCUGUCCCCGUUUUCAGGCUUCGUUGCAUUAUCUGUAUUCACUGUUUUAUCUCCUAUGGCAGCUUCUUCAUUAUUAAGCAGGGUCUGAGAAGGAGAGAUUGGAUUAGAACAGUUUUGUCAUCUUAUGGCACAAGACAAUACAAAGUAUCUCCUAACAUUUCUGACAUACUGACAAAGCAGAUUUAUUGAUAGGAACUCUAUGGAACAUAUCUGAUCUGUACAGUCUUCUGGCACAUUGUAUUUGCAAAGCUACUCUGGAAUUUUUCAAAACUAACCAACCAACCAAUUUGCCUCCUUUAAGGACUUGUGCAGGAGGAUGUAACACAGCCAGGGGUGCUGACCCACCAGAGACUGAGAAGUGCAUAAAUAGGGAGCUUGAGUUUGCAAAGUUGUUUCUUCCCAUAGCAAUAUUUCCUAGGAUUCUUAUGUCUUAGGACUUAGAAUUCAGAGGCCUGAUGGUAUAUAAUGCAUCUGAAGAAAAUACUUUUUGUUUUCUUUUAAGUUGCCAGUGUAACCAUGAUUAAAAAAAACCAAACCCAAACCAAAACGGGCGGUGUUGGAAGGGCACUGACAAUGUGCCAGAACAAUGGCAUUAGGUAGGGCUGGUAAAAAGCAGUUGAAUUAUGAUAAGACAGUAAUGACUACUAUGGGAGUCUGGACUAUAAAAUUUUCAGCUGUAACAGUCAGUUCUAUAAAAUUCACCUUUGUGCAGCCACUUGCACAUCUGUAGGAACAGGCAUGUCCACAGCUGGGGAAUGCUGGCCCAGGAGCCUGGUCCUGAGCAGCUGUGUGUGCAAUUCUCACUGAUCACAGAGCUUCUGGUGCAGAAGCAGGAAGAAAUUAAGCAUCCCAGAAACUGCUAAGAGUUACUGUACUGAGUUUAAAAGAAAAAGUAAGUUACAAGGGAAAAAUGGAAUAAUUUGGGAAAAGUGGCUUCUUUUUUGGAGGGCCUGGUACUCCUGUACAGACUGCUGCAUUCUCCAUCCCCUACCUGUCUGUCUGCUGAUGCUCAGGAGACCUUCACCUUUUAUUUUCAGGUGAGCAGAGCUGGGCUCCACGUGCCAGCAGAGCUUUCAGUAGCAUUUUUUGAAUGCAGAGAGAUGCCUGUAGGCAAUUCCAGAAACACAGCUUUUAUUUUCCUUUUCGUGACAGAAAAAGACCAAACACUGAAAACAGUGAUGAUUGCAUUUUAAUAACCAAAAAAUCAAGUAAGUUUUAAAUGUCUAGAAACAGAUUCUCAGGGGAAAAUAAACCAAAAACAUUUCCACCUUCAACCUGAGACAUCAGCCUUCAGCGUGUGUAACCUGGCAGGUUCUGUGUGUUCACCAUUAUGUACUUGGUACAAACCACUUUUUUUAGUUCAGGGUGGUUUUCCCCCAAGGGAAUCUUUCCAUGCUCCAAGUUAAUUAUGUUUCUCUCCUCUCGAGUUUCUUUACUACCUAGAAAUUUAAGCUAAUGUAGUCUAUUUUAGGUUUUUAAAAGUGCUCAGUGCUAUGAUGACUAUAUACUCAUCUAAAAAAGAUUACAAAAAUCUGAAUACAGGGAAGUAGAGGACAGCUAGAGAUCAUCCUAGUUCUCUGUCCUGGUUUUGGCCAGGAGAGGGUUAAUUUUUAAUAUCAUUCCUAAACCACAACAUUCUCAUGGAACAUAAUAUCUCUGGGCUGACUAAAAUAGUUGUCCUGAAGUAGUCCUGUAUUAUGCUGUGCAGAAUGUAUACAUUUUAAUGAGGUGAGUUAAUCCCUAUAUUCUAGGAACAGACCUUGAUAGCAUUAUCUGUCAUUACUUACAAUACUGCAUGAAUUAGAGUGCACAGAGAUAUUCUGGGGCUGCCAGACCAGUUAAGGAAAAACCACCUUUUCCAGGGCACUAAAACUGAGAUGCUCACAGGCACUGGGCUCCAGCUGGGUUGGUAUCAGCAGGGACAGCCAUAACAGAGAGGGACACACGCUUCCCUAAGAUAACACUGAAUACUGAGCUUUUGUAGUAAAUCCCUUGCCCCUCAAUUUCCAUCAUCCCUGUACACACCUGGAAGUCUUCAAAGCCUGUUAGCAAACAGCAACAAGUGUUCCACUGACGCCUGAGAUGGGGAAAAUAAACCCCCAGCAGUGCUAAAUGUCACGCUUGGAAAUGGCAAUCGUCCGUGUUCAGCAGCCCUUUACCUGCUGCAGAUUAAAACAUAAUGUGGGUCCUUGCUGGGGGGAUGCAUGGCCAGGCAGAAAAACGGGAAGCACUGAGCUCAGGGAGAGCUGAGCCCGCUGAAUGCACUGGCAGGAGCCUGUGCAAACGAGCUGUCACCUAAUGACUUGGUAAUUCAAGCUCUGAUACAGUCAGGGAGCACAAGGGAGCCUCUUGUAGCCCAGCAUUUAGAGUCCUGAAACUAAAAAUCAGCUAAAAUUGCUGGAUUUUCUAUUUUAAUAUUAGUAGUCUGGUGUUUAUGUGAACUCUGAGACAUAAAAGGGAGCCAAGUGGAGUUACACAUGGCUGUAAAGCCAGAAUGGAUAAGUGGAGUCAAAUAAGCAAGCAGGAGCCUCUCUAGUGUGAACCUUGAGUGGUGAGGGCUCUGCAGUGCAGCAGUGGUGAGCCCCUGCUCCCAGGAGCAGGUACCAGCAGCACAUGGAGGGUGCUGGCAAUGCAGGCAGGUCAGCAGGGGCACUAAGUGCCAGGGCCAUGGCAAAGCCUUUUGUCCCAAGGGAGCAGUGGGGUGAUCUGAGAGACAAUCAGAGGGGGACUGUGGAGGGGAGUGAUGCUGCUCUGCAGGAGGAGGCUUCUGGAGGGCAAGGAAUUCCCUGCAGUGGCUGGUGGUGGUUGUGGUUUGGUGUGUGGGUUCCUGACUCACCCAUAAAUUCACAUGGAGAUUGGCAGUAAAUGGAUUGGUGGAGGCUCACUAGGUAAAGGGGAGUAAAGGCUGCUCAGGGGUAGUCAGAGGUGGUGCUCGUGCUGGUAAGGGCUCCCUAAAAAGCAGUAAGAGUUUCCUGAAACCUUCUCCAGCAUGGAUGCAGGAAAAUCAGUUGUUCAGCUGAAAAAAAGUUAAAAAUAAUGUGAAGACAGCAAUUUGAAUAGUUUAGCAUUCAUUCCUGCCUUAAUGAAUAUCUAGUAUACUUUCUUCCACCUUCUAUAAGCUUAUGGAAAGUCCUCCCUGAAGUCACCUGGAGCAGGUCCUUCAGUUUAAAGAAGGCAGUCAAACAGUGAACACAGCCCUGUUCAACCAGUGAUGGCAUUUCUGUGCAAAGAUUGCAAUUAGCAAAGUACAUUCUUUUCAGAUCAUUCGUAAUGGAUGUAAGAGCUUGACAUUAUCUACUUACUGUACCCCAAGACCAGCUUAAAACCACUGCAGAACCUCCUCAUGGCACGUUGGAAAUGGAGUAGAAAAUUUGAGGACUUGUAUUGAGUCCUUUAAGGUCUUGUAGUAAAAUUAAUUUUCGUAGCAGAACUUAAGUCAUUUCACUGAGUGCCACUGACAGCACUCUAGAAUCCUGUACUGAUUUAUUUUUGUGCAUUUCAUUCUUCAUUUUUGAUUGCCUUGUUUCUUGUGGAGUAAUUUACAUAUAUGCAAAAUGAAUGUUAAAAAAAUCAAAUAAAAAUCAUGACCUUUCUCACUAAGGUGAGAAGUGCUAAUAAUAGAACAGGGUGCAAAGCAAGUGGAGAAUCUUGCCUUCAGGCAUGAGUCUGAUUUCAUAGCAUUCUUAUCCAGUUCUUUGUUUUGAUGUUAUUUUUAAUUUAUCAGUAUUUUUACUAAUUAAAAAAAUACUCAGUAAACUACUCCAUUCAAAAAAUAUUGUUAAA